rnacentral:rRNA from 1 species
CACGUAGGGGCGAGCGUUGUCCGGAAUUACUGGGAGUAAAGGGCGCGCAGGCUGUUAUGCGAGUCUGCUGUGAAAUGUACCGGCUCAACCGGUGCCUUGCGGCGGAUACUGCAUAGCUGGAGUACUGGAGAGGGAAGUGGAAUUCCCGGUGUAGCAGUGAAGUGCGUAGAUAUCGGGAGGAACACCGGUGGCGAAGGCGGCUUUCUGGCCAGUUACUGACGCUCAUGCGCGAAAGCUGGGGUAGCGAACCGGAUUAGAUA